AAAUAAUUUUUUUUAAAGAAAAAAGGCAUGAUGUCUGAUGGCUGAGAUUCCUGAGUUUUGAUCCCUAAAACAUGUGGUACAAAUGUUCAUGUGUUGGGAAGACAUGUGAACACAUGGCUGAGUGUCCUUACCACCCUGAAUGUAGGCUCAUCUGAGCAUGCCAAGUGGAGAGCACGGUGGGGCUCCAGUCCCUGAGAGGCUUAAAAUCCCUCCCUUCUUAUUAAAUCCCAUUUUUUUCAGACAGACCUGUGCUCUGAGUGCCAGGUGAUGGCCAACUAACCUGAUAAGCUGGUGGAUUAAUGCCUUACUCCUUUCUAUGUUCCAGGACUGCAAUUCCACUUGGCCUUCUGGAUGGAUACGGUGAUCUACCUGUUCGCUCACUCGACAAAUACCUCCUGCCAAAUACACCGUCAAUCAGUUCCCAGGCCAGAGAUACUCAGUGUCUUCUGAGAUGAAAAGACAGAGAUGGAGAGACAGAGACAGGGACAGAUAGAGAGAAUUUCAGUGCACUGAGCAGUUUCUAAGUAGCAGAGUAGUGAAAGUGAAAGUCGCUCAGUCCUGUCUGACUCUUUGUGACCCUGUGGACUAUACAGUCCAUGGAAUUCCCCAGGCCAGAAUACUGGAGUGGGUAGCCUUUCCCUUCUCCAGGGGAUCUUCCCAACCCAGGGAUUGAACCCAGGUCUGCUUUGCAGGCAGAUCCUUUACCAGCUAAGCCACAAGGGAAGAAGAGUAGAGAUGUUUCUAAAUAAAUGGAUUUGGAAUCAGGGAAGAUAGCACAAUUCAUUGCUUGACAAGCCCUAUGGAGACUUCCCAGAGGAGAGCAUUUGGGAUGCAUUUUGAACAGUGAACAAGUGAUCUCUAGGGGCAGCAGUGGGGAAAGAACCUCACACAGGAGGGUAUGGUGCACAGGAAAGCAUCCAGCAUGGGAGGUAUUGCCUCACAGCCGGGGGGGAAUUUCAAGUCCCCCAAAGUGAAGCAGGACAUUUGGCAUUCUUCAACUCUGGACUUUUCUGGAGGACUUCUUCCAACUCUUGCUUCUAGGGACUAGGACACCACCUCGGUGAUGCGUGUCCCUCCCACUGCAAUUGCAUCAGGAUCUGUGUGGGGUCAGUUUGUGAGAGAUAUAGACUUUUAUGAGUUAUGUGCUUGAGGUUGUCCCAGAUGGGGACAGUUGUCCCUAAAUAGAUUCACCUGCUCAGUCCAGAUGUGAGUAAGACAUCUGAGAGGUCUGCCUUGGUCAGGUUAUUUAUUAAUAAACAUAGAUGCACAAAGGAAAAUGACAAGACCCACUUUGGGGGGACGGAUCCCUUGAGGGAUGGGAAGGGAUUCGUCUCUCUCGGUUCCUUUCGGUUCCUGAUUUGAGGUGAAUAAUGUGUUAAUCACCCCCUUGCUGCCUCACUAGCACAUAUGAAUGAAAUAUUCCCCCAGCACACAGUUCUUCCUACACAAAUGCUGGCCAGGGCUUUCUCUCCCCCUGGAGAGCUAUUUGCUGCUUUACACAUGUGCAGCUGAACUUUCCUUCUCCCUUUCCAUUCUGCUUAGUAAGCAGACUCUGAAUAACGACACCUGCAUCCCAUUCAGUCUUCAACAUGAGCCAAAGGGGAGAGAAGCUGGUGUGUGAGGGUCCAAGGGCAACAAGGGCUGGGGCAGCAGGGCCUCACUUCCUCUGUUUCCUAUCAAAGGAGGCAUUGGGGAGGUUUCAGAAUCAGGAUCGCAGGUCGAUAGAUGGUGAUGCUUCUUGUUUAUUGAUCAUCACGCGCACAUUCAACCCACAACCCACGGAUGGUCAGCCUGUUGGUGGUCCCUGUUUCCCUGCCACUUCCCUUUUAGUGGAACAAAAAUUUAACUCUUUGCUAGGGCCCUAAUAAAGCAGACAUUGGAACAAACACACUGUUUCUGUCCCCAGUGAUUUAGCACUUUGAACAUUUCCAUCCUGAGAGCAUUUAUACACACUUCAGAAGAAGUCAGCUCUUCUGAAAUCAACACAGUACUAAUUUGAAAAUAGAAUCAUCAACACAGACACCAAAUACUUCUGUCAUCACCUUUAGUGGACACAGGCUCCUUGUGUGCAUACAAACAUUUGCCAGAUACCACGACGCCCUCACUUCUGGUAUUUCAAAGUGCUGUUGUUGGGAGCUUCUUGACAGAAGAGUUGAUGUCACCAUCCACAUUACCCUGAUCGUAUUUGUUUUUCUAUGAAUGGACAUUUAGGUCACAUUUUCCAUCCACGUCUCCUGCUGGCUGUGAGCAGUGACAUCUCAGAUGCACUUGCCUGCUGACUCACCGCCCGGGGUUAGGACACCCAUCUGGCUGUGCCUAGUGUGUUACACAUGCCUCAUUUAUUUUCCACCUUUCCAGGUGGUUAGCACACAGGAGACUGAAAGUCAAAAUACUAUCCAUCGGUAGAUGAAUGGAUAAGCAAAAUGUGAUAUAGACUUACGAUGGAAUAUUUUUCAGCCUUCAAAAGAAAGGAAUUCUGACACAUGCUACAACCUGGAUGAACUUGAAGACAUUAUGCUAAGUGAAAUAAGGCAGUCACAAAACAUACACAUUGCUUGAUUUCUUUGAUGUGAUAUACCUAGGUAUUCUAGUCAAAUUCGUAGUCAGACUUCUAGAGACAAGGUAGAUCAGUGGUUGCCAGGAGGUGGGAAAGAGUGUAUAUUGAGUGGGUACAGAUUUCAGUUGGAGAAGAUGAAAAAGUUCUGAAGGUGGAUGGUAGCGAUGGUUGCAUGAUAAUGUGAAUGUACUUAAUGUCAGAGAACUGUACACAUAAGGAUGGUUAAAAUGGCACUUCCCUGGUGGUCCAGUGGUUACAAAUCCGCUGGCCAAUGCAGGGGACAUAAGUUUGAUCUCUGGUCCAGGAAGAUUCCACAGGCUGCAGAGGAACUGAGUCUUUGCCCCACAACUACUGAACCUGCACUCUAGAGUCUGUGAGCUGCAACUACUGAAGCCCAAGAGCCUAGAGCCUGCGUUCUGCAACAAAUCACCACAGUGAGAAGCCUGCGCACCACAAUGAAGAGUAGCCCCCACUUUCCCCAACUAGGGAAAACCUGCACCCAGCAACGAAGACCCAGUGCAACCAAAAAUAAACGGAUACAUUUAAAAAUGGUUAAAAUGGAACUCUGAAGAAAAGUGUUCCAACCUGUCUGGCCCAAAGGAACCUGGCCUGGCGCCCACACCCGCUGGGCCUGUGCGUCUGAAGCUGUGGAAUCCGGUUCACUCAGGGGCUGUUGAACCACUUGAGCAGCCCUGCUGAGGGAUGAUAACCUCCGGGUCCAUCCAUGUGGCUGCAAAUGGUGUUAGUUCAUUCUUUUUUUACGGUUUAGUAAUAGCCCAUUGUGAGGAGGGCGUGGCAACCCACUCCAGUAUUCUUGCCUGGAGAAUCCCAUGGACAGAGGAGCUCGGUGGGCUACAGUCCAUGGGGUCGCAAAGAGUUGGACAUGACUGAAGUGACUUAGACAAGCACAAUAGUCCAUUGAAUAUAUGUGCC